GCAAGAGACAGGACCACCAGUCUUCCCAGGAGAAAUGGGCAGGCUCCUGGGGGUUUUGCUGUUGCUUUUCUGUCUUCAGCCACACUGGGUGAAUAGUCAACAGCAGAAUAAUGAGCAGCAACAGGUGAAGCAGAAUUCUCCAUCCCUGAGUGUGCAGGAAGGAGGAACUUCUAUUCUGAACUGUGACUACAAUAGUAAUUUGUUUACUUACUUCGCAUGGUACAAAAAAUACCAUGCUAAAGGUCCUGCAUUCCUGAUAUCAGUAAGUUCAGUUGCAGAUAAGAAGGAAGAUGGAAGAUUCACAGCCUUCCACAACGUGAGUGCCAAACACCUCUCUCUGCACAUUGAGCACUCGCAUCCUGGAGACGCAGCCUUGUACCUCUGUGCAGCCAGUGCACAGUGCUCUGCAGGCACCUGCAGCCUGUACUCAAACCUGCAGCUGGGGCCACGCUAA